UACUACAUGUACACGCUUCUUCGCCCAUCUUCAUCAAAUUUAAUACAUUCCAGUAUCAUUCUUUCAUUGGUAAAUAUGCAAAUGAUAAGUUUAUAAGGGGUAAAUGAUUGAAAUUUGGGGUUAAUAUUAGGUUCCUAUGUCUUUAAUCACAUUUCCUAAGAGAAUUGAAUAAAAACAAUAAAAUAGUUUCUAUAACUUCUUUUGGCUCUUAAGAGAUCUGAAACUUUGUAAUUUUAGUAUAAAAUUGUUAAAGAUUUCAGUUGAUCGUUAACAAACAAAAUUAGAUUAAAAAUAUAUUCCAUGAGUAAUUCUCUUCUCUUUCGUGGAAUAGCCUAAAAUAAAAAGACGUAAUCCUAAAAACUAUGAACAUGUGAACUUGACUCAACUUGUUAGUGCAGUGUUAAAUGUUUAGGUGUGCUUAUUGUAAAGUUAUGUAAUUUGCAUUUUUUUGGAAAUCCCCUCAAUUUUGAUUGUUACUAUUUAUAACUAUUUAUAAUUGUAAACAAAUGUUCACCUGUAUGCACUCUGCAAAAUAGUGAAAUUUUAUGAUCUUAGGUUUAAAUUUUGCAUGUAAUUUUGUAAGUGGUGAAACAUUAUAUUUGGUGUCAAAUAUUCAUUAAUAAAACAGGUUUAAAGUAAUAUAAAUUAACUGCAUAAUCUUGUACUGUAGUAUAAAUGCACAUUAAUUCCAAGGACACACGUAAAAUAUAUCUCCCAGGAUGCUUUGAUGGGAAACAGCCAUUGAUCAUAUGAACAUGCAAUGAAAUUGAUCGAAAAUAUCAAACAAAACUAGUAAAUGUCACAGGUGUUUUUUUUCCGUGAGAACAGCUGAUCGGGAAUGUUCUAAUGUCAACACUGGGUUCAAAUCCUGUCUUCAUUUAAAAUUCAUUGAUAUUUUAGCAGUGUUCAGCAAAGCAUAUAAUUUAAGUGAGAUGUUUCAUCCAGAAGUAUUUUUUCAAGUUGAACCUGAAAAGAAUUGAUCAUUGAGUUUAUAAAUUUUUGCAUGAAUUCAUAUUUUUCUUUCCAGUUUAUUUCCUCACAAAAUCUUCAAUAUUGGAAAUUUUUCCAAAUGUUACUAUUAGGAAAAAUUUUGCAGGUCAUAGCUUCCAAGUUUUUUAAUGUGACCAUUCUUUUAAAAAAAAAAAUAUAAUUCUGACGAAAAUCAUCUCUUUCUUAACUCAACUAAAUGUCACACCCAAAGUUAGAAAUAUUUCUUAAAUCGUUUCUUUUAUACAUGUUAAAGAAGAUGAUAUACGUGUACUUUGUGUUCCUACAUUAUAUAAGUUUUUAUUAGUGUUUGUGUGAUAAUUUCCUGUUUUGAAUAUAUGAGAGAAUUGUUAAUUUCAGUUUGAAAUGUACAUUUGUUUGAUUGUAAAUGAUUUCAUUAUAUUAUUUCAUAUUUCAUUUUGUAUAUAUAUCUGUUUAUUUAUUAAUUAUUCAUUUAUCAGUUGUUAUGGUUUUCUUUUUUUAGAAAAUUACUUUGUUUAUUUGUGUAUAAUUUUGUAUAAAUUGUAAUUAUAAAAAAAUGCAUUACACCUUGAAUAUAUGUCCAUAUUUUAUUGUUAAACUGUUAAUGGCUGUAAAGGUACUUUUUAAAGUAAAAAUAAAGAUAAUGUGAACAAAAGAGAAAGUAGUGGUUUAAUGAAAUAAAAAAUAAAUACCUUUUUCCUGGGAGGGAUAUAUAUGAGAGAGUAGGAAUUCUACUACCAGUUUUUCAGAUUUUGGCAUAUAAGAAUGUUUUGAAUUUAUAUCUAAAAAUAUCUUUUAAGUCAGGGCAUAGGAACACAAUAAAAUAUGGACUUAACUCAAGGUUUUAAAAUUGCUAUUGGAGGCAGCAGAAACUACAAUGUGCUAGCAUUACCUUUAUUUGUACAUGCUAUAAAUUUUGUAUGCAUUUCUUUUUUUUAAAAGUCUAUAAGUGUUAUAUAUAUAUAUUAUGAUAUAUGUAUAUUAUUUCAAAAGAUUUCAUUUGGAAACUUCACACAAAGUCCCAUUUCAACUGCGACAUACUGACCGAUUUCAUUUUCAAAUGGAACUUCUUUUCUUAAACCUUAAUUAAAUUCUAAAUGUCUUUUUACAAAAUUUUGCUAUGACAAAAAAUGUUUUUGAACUUCAUAUUGAGUACAAAGAAUUUGUAAAAGUUUGAAAGGCAUUCUAUAUAAAUCUUAGGAUUUCAUAUAAUAUAAUAACUUAAAAGUCUUUAUCUGUUAUGGAAACUCUCCUCAUUUGACCAGAGAAUUUCACUUCAAAGUUUUUGUAGAUUAAAACUCCAUUCCAUAUAUGUUAAAAGGAUUUUUUAAGCUGAACCAUGAACAUCAGGGUAAAUCCAUUCUCUGUUAUAUAACUUCUUACAAAGGAAAUAUCCUUUUAGUAGAUGGACUUUCAGGAUUAUGUAAUCACACAAGUUUAAAAAUUGCGAAAUGAGAUCAUGGUAAUUUCUAAAUAAUGUUCUUCCUUAUUUGGCCAUUUCCUUCAAUACAUCAAACGAAAUAUAUUUUACGGUAUAAAGUUUCUAAGGAAGUUCUAAUGUAAUUAAGUUGCAAAAGAAUUUGAAGUGGAUCUUCUGCACAUCCUUUUUAAAGUCAUUUAUUAAGUACUGAAAGCUUUUGAUUUAAAUUUUCUGGUUAAUCGAAAUUAAUUAGUUUUGUAUUUCAUAAUAUCAAAUAUCAUGCAUUUAAAAAUCUGGAAGGCAGAUAGUAUAAAAUGAAUAUACUUAUGGGUUUUUUUUCUGUUUUUUUUUUUUAACAUUUGGGAUGAAUUUAGAAAAGGUGGGAGGGGGCACUUUGCUUCCAGAAUAUUUUAAAAACAUAAAGAGAUAAGAUCAACAUUGAUAUAUAGAUUGUGAAAAAUAGUUGAUGAACAGAAAAUUUCUGAAGUACAAUGGACAUUGUAUAAAAAAUAUUAUUAAUUUUUACUUUAAAUUUUUAUGCCAAUGUGCACACAUUUUGUUUGCCUGAUUCUUACAUAGUGUUAUAUUUCUGUUCCCCAAAUUUCUAUAGGGUUGACUAGUAACUGCAUUUUGUCAAGUGUGUAAUAUUCUGCCAUAAUCCAAACAUUUCCUUAUCUUAACUCUCGCUUAAAGUGUUCCAUGUUUUUACAACCAGACAAUGUUAUAAGGGGGAUGCUAGGUUUAAAGUGGGGCAUUAAAUUUGGACUUUAUUUCUUGAUCUGCAAAAAGUAGUUAAUGUUGAGUUUAAUUUGUACUGGGAAAUCUGCAUUUUUGCAAGUGUUUUGUUUUUAAUUUUCUUUCACAAAAUUAAGAGAUGACCUAAGAAAAUUGUAAAAUGACUGACCGGUAAUGGAUUUUAUUGUCUGGUUGUAAAAAUUUGUAAAACAACUUCUUUAAUGACUGUAGGCCACUGAAAACAUGUAUCAAAUAGUGCUAAUUUGUUUAGUUUUUGGUGUUUGUUCAACAUAGAUUUGAAUGAAUACCACAAAUGUUUUAUUAUAUAAUCUUCUGCGAGUAAUCUUGCAGUGGAUGAAUAAAAAAUGUGUUAUGAGAA
rnacentral:lncRNA from 1 species